rnacentral:rRNA from 1 species
GUCAAGCUUCCAAGAAAAGCCCUAUACCCGUUAAGGCAUGACGGCCUGUACCCGAAACCGACACAGGUGGGGUGGUAGAGAAUACCGAGGGGCGCGAGAUAACUCUCUCUAAGGAACUCGGCAAAAUGGCCCCGUAACUUCGGGAGAAGGGGUGCCAUCGCAAGGUGGUCGCAGUGAAGAGGCCCAGGCGACUGUUUACCAAAAACACAGGUCUCCGCUAAGUCGCAAGACGAUGUAUGGGGGCUGACGCCUGCCCAGUGCCGGAAGGUUAAGGAAGCUGGUCAGCGCAAGCGAAGCUAGCGACUGAAGCCCCGGUGAACGGCGGCCGUAACUAUAACGGUCCUAAGGUAGCGAAAUUCCUUGUCGGGUAAGUUCCGACCCGCACGAAAGGCGUAACGAUCUGGGCGCUGUCUCGGAGAGAGGCUCGGCGAAAUAGAAUUGUCUGUGAAGAUGCGGACUACGUGCACCCGGACAGAAAGACCCUAUGAAGCUUUACUGUAGCUUGGUAUUGUGCCCGGGCUCUGAAUGCGCAGGAUAGGUGGGAGGCUUUGAUCCAUGGCUUGCGGGUCAUGGUGAGCCAACGGUGAGAUACCACUCUUUCAGAGCUAGGGUUCUAACAGCCACCCGUUAUCCGGGGGCUGGACAGUAUCAGGUGGGCAGUUUGACUGGGGCGGUCGCCCCCUAAAGGGUAACGGAGGCGCGCAAAGGUUUGCUCAGGCUGGUUGGAAAUCAGCCGACGAGUGCAAAAGCAGAAGCAAGCUUGACUGUGAGACCAACAAGUCGAACAGGGACGAAAGUCGGCUUUAGUGAUCCGACGGUUCUGAGUGGAAGGGCCGUCGCUCAACGGAUAAAAGUUACUCUAGGAUAACAGGCUGAUCUCCCCCAAGAGUUCACAUCGACGGGGAGGUUUGGCGCCUCGAUGUCGGCUCAUCGCAACCUGGGGCUGAAGUCGGUCCCAAGGGUUGGGCUGUUCGCCCAUUAAAGCGGUACGCGAGCUGGGUUCAGAACGUCGUGAGACAGUUCGGUCCAUAUCCGGUGCAUGCGUAGGAACAUUGAGAGGAGUUCUCCCUAGUACGAGAGGACCGGGAGGAACGCACCUCUGGUGUACCAGUUAUCGUGCCAACGGUAAACGCUGGGUAGCCAUGUGCGGAGAGGAUAACCGCUGAAAGCAUCUAAGUGGGAAGCCCACCUCAAGAUGAGUGUUCUCAUGGCUUAAGCCAGUAAGGUCACGGGAAGAACACCCGUUGAUAGGCUCUACGUGGAAGCGCAGCAAUGUGUGAAGCGGAGGAGUACUAAUAGACCGAGGGCUUGAC